rnacentral:rRNA from 1 species
UACAGAGGUCUCGAGCGUUGUUCGGAUUCAUUGGGCGUAAAGGGCGCGUAGGCGGCGGGGUAAGUCUGGUGUGAAAUCUCGGAGCUCAACUCCGAAACUGCAUUCGAUACUGCGGUGCUUGAGGACUGGAGAGGAGACUGGAAUUCAUGGUGUAGCAGUGAAAUGCGUAGAUAUCGUAAGGAAGACCAGUGGCGAAGGCGGGUCUCUGGACAGUUCCUGACGCUGAGGCACGAAGGUCAGGGGAGCAAACGGG